GUAACAAGGUUUCCGUAGGUGAACCUGCGGAAGGAUCAUUACCUAGAGUUGUAGGCUUUGCCUGCUAUCUCUUACCCAUGUCUUUUGAGCACCUUACGUUUCCUCGGCGGGUCCGCCCGCCGAUUGGACAAUUUAAACCAUUUGCAGUUGCAAUCAGCGUCUGAAAAAAACUUAAUAGUUACAACUUUCAACAACGGAUCUCUUGGUUCUGGCAUCGAUGAAGAACGCAGCGAAAUGCGAUAAGUAGUGUGAAUUGCAGAAUUCAGUGAAUCAUCGAAUCUUUGAACGCACAUUGCGCCCCUUGGUAUUCCAUGGGGCAUGCCUGUUCGAGCGUCAUUUGUACCUUCAAGCUCUGCUUGGUGUUGGGUGUUUGUCUCGCCUCUGCGUGUAGACUCGCCUCAAAGCAAUUGGCAGCCGGCGUGUUGAUUUCGGAGCGCAGUACAUCUCGCGCUCUGCACUCAUAACGACGACGUCCAAAAGUACAUUUUUUACACUCUUGACCUCGGAUCAGGUAGGGAUACCCGCUGAACUUAAGCAUAUCAAUAA
rnacentral:misc_RNA from 1 species